AGAAUAAAAAUUUGUGUCACUCCACUAGGAAAAAAAACCAUGACCUGCUGAGGUGUUUGCUGAAGGCAGAGGGAAUACAGAAUGGGUAGUAGAAGAGGUUAGUCAUCAAUACCAACUACGACCACAUGACCAGCUGCAGAACUGAAGAUUGUAACUGUCAUGAGUAUUUCCUCCUUCUUUUGUUAAAA